rnacentral:rRNA from 12 species
AUGCAUGUCUAAGUACAUUCUUUCACACAGAGAAACUGCGAAUGGCUCAUUAGAUCAGUUAUGGUUCCUUAGAUCGUCAUAUCCUACUUGGAUAACUGUAGUAAUUCUAGAGCUAAUACAUGCAACAAAGCUCCCACCGAAAGGGAAGAGCGCUUUUAUUAGAUCAAAACCAAUCGGGCCCCGCCCGUUCUGUUGGUGACACUGGAUAACUUUGGGCUGAUCGCAUGGCCUUGAGCCGGCGACGUAUCUUUCAAAUGUCUGCCCUAUCAACUUUCGAUGGUACGCGAUAUGCCUACCAUGGUCGUAACGGGUAACGGGGAAUCAGGGUUCGAUUCCGGAGAGGGAGCAUGAGAAACGGCUACCACU